rnacentral:rRNA from 1 species
AUUGAACGCUGGCGGCAGGCCUAACACAUGCAAGUCGAGCGGAUGAAGGGAGCUUGCUCCUGGAUUCAGCGGCGGACGGGUGAGUAAUGCCUAGGAAUCUGCCUGGUAGUGGGGGAUAACGUCCGGACACGGGCGCUAAUACUGCAUACGUCCUGAGGGAGAAGGUGGGGGUUCUUCGGACCUCACGCUCUCAGAUGAGCCUAGGUCGGAUUAGCUAGUUGGUGGGGUAAAGGCGUACCAAGGCGACGAUCCGUAACUGGUCUGAGAGGAUGAUCAGUCACACUGGAACUGAGACACGGUCAAGACUACGACGGGAGGCAGCAGUGGGGAAUAUUGGACAAUGGGCGAAAGCCUGAUCCAGCCAUGCCGCGUGUGUGAAGAAGGUCUUCGGAUUGUAAAGCACUUUAAGUUGGGAGGAAGGGCAGUAAGUUAAGACCUUGCUGUUUUGACGUUACCAACAGAAUAAGCACCGGCUAACUUCGUG